UACGUAGGCAGCGAGCGUUGUUCGGAAUUACUGGGCGUAAAGAGUGUGUAGGCGGUGCUCUAAGUUCGGUGUGAAAUCUCCCGCUUAACUGGGAGGGUGCGCCGGAAACUGGAGUGCUCGAGCGUGGGAGAGGAAAGCGGAAUUCCUGGUGUAGCGGUGAAAUGCGCAGAUAUCAGGAGGAACACCGGUGGCGAAGGCGGGGUCUCUGGGGCCGAUACUGACGCUGAGGAGCGAAAGCGUGGGGAGCGAACAGG
rnacentral:rRNA from 1 species